ensembl:misc_RNA 7SK 7SK RNA
GGAUGUGAGGGUGAUCUGACUAUCACCCCAUUGAUCACCAGGGCUUAUUCAGCUGAUCUGGCUGUCUAGAAAGGUAUCCCCUUCCUCCCUUACCAAUCCAUGGAUUUCCCUCCUGAGGCUGGGCUGUGUCCUCAGUGGAACUUCCCUGAUAGAAGAGGACCAUUCUUGGGUCAAGGAUAUACUACCAGCUGUGUUUCCUUGCUAGAACCUCCAAACAAGCUCUCAAGUCCCAUAGUUCAGCUAUUUAAUUUCUAAAUACUUAGAGAUAUUAUAGACACAUUUAAAAAUCUUAAUUUCAUUAUAU